UUUGUGACGCGGAGGGACAUUACCGAGUUUACAACUCCCAAACCCAUGUGAACAUACCUACUGUUGCUUCGGCGGGAUUGCCCCGGGCGCCUCGUGUGCCCCGGAUCAGGCGCCCGCCUAGGAAACUCAACUCUUGUUUUAUUUUGGAAUCUUCUGAGUAAUUUUUACAAAUAAAUAAAAACUUUCAACAACGGAUCUCUUGGUUCUGGCAUCGAUGAAGAACGCAGCGAAAUGCGAUAAGUAAUGUGAAUUGCAGAAUUCAGUGAAUCAUCGAAUCUUUGAACGCACAUUGCGCCCGCCAGUAUUCUGGCGGGCAUGCCUGUCUGAGCGUCAUUUCAACCCUCAUGCCCCUAGGGCGUGGUGUUGGGGAUCGGCCAAAGCCCGCGAGGGACGGCCGGCCCCUAAAUCUAGUGGCGGACCCGUCGUGGCCUCCCCUGCGAAGUAGUGAUAUUCCGCAUCGGAGAGCGACGAGCCCCUGCCGUUAAACCCCCAAUUUCCAAGGUUGACCUCAGAUCAGGUAGGAAUACCCGCUGAACUUAAGCAUAUCUAA
rnacentral:rRNA from 1 species